GAUGAACGCUGGCGGCGUGCCUAAUACAUGCAAGUCGAGCGAACAGAUGAGGAGCUUGCUCCUCUGACGUUAGCGGCGGACGGGUGAGUAACACGUGGAUAACCUACCUAUAAGACUGGGAUAACUUCGGGAAACCGGAGCUAAUACCGGAUAAUAUAUUGAACCGCAUGGUUCAAUAGUGAAAGACGGUUUUGCUGUCACUUAUAGAUGGAUCCGCGCCGCAUUAGCUAGUUGGUAAGGUAACGGCUUACCAAGGCAACGAUGCGUAGCCGACCUGAGAGGGUGAUCGGCCACACUGGAACUGAGACACGGUCCAGACUCCUACGGGAGGCAGCAGUAGGGAAUCUUCCGCAAUGGGCGAAAGCUUGACGGAGCAACGCCGCGUGAGUGAUGAAGGUCUUCGGCUCGUAAAACUCUGUUAUUAGGGAAGAACAAAUGUGUAAGUAACUAUGCACGUCUUGACGGUACCUAAUCAGAAAGCCACGGCUAACUACGUG
rnacentral:rRNA from 1 species